rnacentral:lncRNA from 1 species
AUGACCUUAUACAAAUGUUUGUUUGUGUGGUUGUUGGCGAAGCAACUCAACAUUUUUCUUCGUUUAUGUUGGCUUUUGCAGAACAGCAUGUCUUCUGUAUGCAGAAUCUUAAGGGUCCCACUUUUUCCAUUCUGUCUUGAACACACACACACCAAAGACCAUGUGAAUCACUGUGGUUUCAUAGAGUCAUCUCCCCGAGCACUGGGAAACUACAGAUGAACACUUCCUGAACCAUCCCAGACAGUGACUGUGGGGAAAGGCGCUGUAUCAAGGUAAGAGUACAAACAGCAGCACACGUGAUUCAGCAGCUCCUGUACUGACUGCUAAACACUGAGUCAUAGAUGCUCAUACACAUGCACACACAUGCUGCAUGCUUUCUGUCUUUGUUAGUUCCAUAGAAAUCUGAUUACAUGAAAUUUCCUGGGGACAGUGUCUGUCUGAUGUGUUUGCUUUGAAAUCAGGGAGAUAUGUUUCUGUAAGGUUUUCGUCAAGUGAAGACAGGCUGAAGUUAUGUAAGCGUCUGUAUCCUGUGAUCUGUGCACAUUUGUGUGUGCAUGAGCUGAGAGGCCUGCAGCUGCCUGACUUUCCUAAACAAGGCAUAAGAGUUAAAUUGAUAUGCAUAUUGUAAAAAUAAACAAAGAAAUUAAAAAUGAUACAUGACCUAGACACCCAGAGACUUUUGCAGAUUUGAUUCUGAAUACAAGUCUACAGUGUUGUAACUAUUGCAAUGAAUUAAACAAAUGGCAUGUUUAUUUUUGUGAAUGUGACUGUUUCUCACAAAUGCUCAACUAUUUCUUAUAUAGUUGAAUAGAAUGUAAUUAAACUCAAAUAAAAACUUCAUAAUGACAUUUUUGUUUUGUUAUUAAAACGUUUGGUCUCAAUUCAGAUACUGAGUUUGUAAAUUUAUUUCAUCAGCUAUGCUACCCUUCAAAAAAAGUAAGAUUUAAGAUUUUUUUAAGUUUUUUGAAAGAUGUCACUUAUGUUCACCAAGGCUGUAUUUAUUUGAUCAAACAUACAGUAACAGAAACAUUGUGAAAUAUUACAAUUUAAA